UACAGAGGGUGCGAGCGUUGUCCGGAAUCACUGGGCUUAAAGGGCGCGUAGGCGGCUCGUUUAGUCGGGUGUGAAAUCCCGGGGCUCAACCCCGGAACUGCAUUCGAUACUGGCGGGCUAGAGACCGGAAGAGGUGGGUGGAAUACCCAGUGUAGAGGUGAAAUUCGUAGAUAUUGGGCGGAACACCGGUGGCGAAGGCGGCUCACUGGUCCGGUUCUGACGCUGAGGCGCGAAAGCGUGGGGAGCAAACAGG
rnacentral:rRNA from 1 species